ACGGAUUGUCCGUCCGGUAA
rnacentral:miRNA from 1 species